rnacentral:rRNA from 1 species
GUGAGGAAUAUUGGUCAAUGGGCGGGAGCCUGAACCAGCCAAGUCGCGUGAAGGAAGAAGGAUCUAUGGUUCGUAAACUUCUUUUGCAGGGGAAUAAAGUGCAGGACGUGUCCUGUUUUGUAUGUACCCUGAGAAUAAGGAUCGGCUAACUCCGUGCCAGCAGCCGCGGUAAUACGGAGGAUCCGAGCGUUAUCCGGAUUUAUUGGGUUUAAGGGGUGCGUAGGUGGUUUGAUAAGUCAGCGGUGAAAGUUUGCAGCUUAACUGUAAAAAUGCCGUUGAAACUGUCGGACUUGAGUGUAAAUGAGGUAGGCGGAAUGCGUGGUGUAGCGGUGAAAUGCAUAGAUAUCACGCAGAACUCCGAUUGCGAAGGCAGCUUACUAAGCUACAACUGACACUGAAGCACGAAAGCGUGGAGAUCAAACAGGAUUAGAAACCCCGGUAGUCC